UUUUGAUUUUACAACAGAGAGAUUUGGACCGACUCUGCCUCUGCCGUUCCACUCUCGUUGU
rnacentral:sRNA from 1 species